AGUGAACGCUGGCGGUAGGCCUAACACAUGCAAGUCGAACGGCAGCACAGUAAGAGCUUGCUCUUACGGGUGGCGAGUGGCGGACGGGUGAGGAAUACAUCGGAAUCUACUUUUUCGUGGGGGAUAACGUAGGGAAACUUACGCUAAUACCGCAUACGACCUACGGGUGAAAGCUGGGGAUCUUCGGACCUUGCGCGAUUGAAUGAGCCGAUGUCGGAUUAGCUAGUUGGCGGGGUAAAGGCCCACCAAGGCGACGAUCCGUAGCUGGUCUGAGAGGAUGAUCAGCCACACUGGAACUGAGACACGGUCCAGACUCCUACGGGAGGCAGCAGUGGGGAAUAUCGGACAAUGGGCGCAAGCCUGAUCCAGCCAUACCGCGUGGGUGAAGAAGGCCUUCGGGUUGUAAAGCCCUUUUGUUGGGAAAGAAAAGCAGCAGGUUAAUACCCCGCUGUUCUGACGGUACCCAAAGAAUAAGCACCGGCUAACUUCGU
rnacentral:rRNA from 1 species